GCUGACUUUGUAAGAUGAGAGGCAAAUUCAGGAGCAUCCCUCUCUACCACCAAGACUGCUGCUUAGUUGACAGCCUCCCUGGCAGAUUUCUGCAGGGUUCCUAACAAAGAAGCCUUCUUCUGAGUACACAAGAAAUGAAUCUGUUUCUCCAUGAAGACCAUGAUUGUUUCUGGGAACUCAUAUCCAAGCAACCAGACGUUCAACGCUGAAGAUUUCAGAUAACGUAGAUCAUCAGACGCUGGGGGACUAGCAAUUACAAGCACAUCAGAAGCACCCCAGAACUCAGUUUUGUGUUCCUUCCAGUGAGAAUAGAACACUUUCAGCCGCUUCUGGAAGUUAUCAAGAUUGAUCGUGUAAGCACUGGGUGCCCCAGCAGCAUUUUUGUCAGAAGGUUUUGCAUUGCCAUUUCGGUGUUCCGCCAUUGAAGCUAUGUCAGAUCUAGAACAACUGAAAUCCGCAACAAACCAAACAGAAAAACGCAGAGAUAACCACAAAUUUCAGAGAAGGAAGGGCUCAAAAGAAGGUUGAACAAGAGAAGAUACUAAGUAGCCAAUUCAAGGCAAGGCAUAGCCAACAGUUGAAGUUCCGGGUAAAAGUGUUCAGUUAAGAGGGUUAAAAUCAAUUUUUGUUGGAGUGGGCCACUUGGGUCAUUUCCUCUUUUAUUGAAUUGAGUUGUUACCAAUUUUCUGAAUAGGAAUCUUAUCAAACAAUAGUGUGAAUUAUUUUUUGAAUGACUAUCAGGUGCAAGAUUAAAAAAAUAAUAAUAAUAAAUUAUCGAUAUUUUUUUUUAUUUACAGAUAU